CAAGUACCGUGAGGGAAAGUUGCAAAGAACUUUGAAGAGAGAGUUCAAGAGAACGUGAAAACACAUGAGUGGAAGCGGAAAGAGUUGACAUAACCCGGUAGCUAAGUUGUAUGUGCACGCUAUUGUGUGUACGUUAGAUGGAUGCUGCUUAUGGUUGCGCCGAUAGCGUCGGUGGUGCUUGCUGACCCGUGUAGUGUUGCCCACAUCUGUGGUGUCUUGCUUGCGGUUAGGUUAGUCACUGGUGGCGUUUAGCUCAGCUUUGCUGAGUAUCGGUGUGAACGUCAAUCACCUUUCCGGCCCGUCUUGAAACACGGACCGAGGAGUGUAACUUGUACGCGAGUCAGAGGGUGGCAAACCCAACGGCGAAAUUAACGUAAAGGUCGGUUAACCGACUGACAUAGGAUCCGGUUUACCGGCGCACUAUGGCCCUGUCUUGGAUGCUUGCAUCUGGGCAGAGGAAGAGCGUACAGGUUGCGACCCGAAAGAUGGUGAACUAUGCUUGAGCAGGACGAAGCCAGAGGAAACUCUGGUGGAAGUCCGUAUCGGUUCUGACGUGCAAAUCGAUCGAUAGACUUGAGUAUAGGGGCGAAAGACUAAUCGAACCAUCUAGUAGCUGGUUCCUUCCGA
rnacentral:rRNA from 1 species